rnacentral:lncRNA from 1 species
GCUUAAAGACAUGAUAAUUAGGUUUUACUAAAUACUUUUUCAGAAAUAAUGAUAAUAAAAAGUUAGUGGAAGAAAAAUUACUAUUUAUUAAAUUAAAAUAAACAAAAAAUAAAAGGGAAAAAAGAAGUUAGUGGGAGAAUUAAUUAAAAAAAAAUUGGACUGUUAUUGGGGAUUUUUUUUAAUUAAUUAAUAAUAAUAAAUAAGUGAAGUUUCUAAGUUAACCCUCAUUUUGACUCCAAAAAUUU